UACGAAGGGGGCUAGCGUUGUUCGGAUUUACUGGGCGUAAAGCGCACGUAGGCGGAUCUUUAAGUCAGAGGUGAAAUCCCAAGGCUCAACCUUGGAACUGCCUUUGAUACUGGGGAUCUCGAGUCCGGGAGAGGUGAGUGGAACUGCGAGUGUAGAGGUGAAAUUCGUAGAUAUUCGCAAGAACACCAGUGGCGAAGGCGGCUCACUGGCCCGGUACUGACGCUGAGGAGCGAAAGCGUGGGGAGCAAACAGG
rnacentral:rRNA from 1 species